ACACGUCUACAUUAGAUACCCCCGUAGUCCCAGCCGUAAACUAUGCGCGUUAGGUGUAUCGGUGACCACGAGUUACCGAGGUGCCGAAGGGAAACCGUGAAACGUGCCGCCUGGGAAGUACGGUCGCAAGGCUGAAACUUAAAGGAAUUGGCGGGGAGCACCACAACAGGUGGAGCCUGUCGGUUUAAUUGGACUCAACGCCGGGAAGCUCACCGGAUAGGACAGCAGAAUGAUUGCCGGGCUGAAGACCCUGCAUGACUAGCUG
rnacentral:rRNA from 1 species